UAUAUAAGGGUAAGCUCU
rnacentral:miRNA from 1 species